rnacentral:rRNA from 1 species
CCUACGUGAGGCAGCAGUGAGGAAUAUUGGUCAAUGGACGAGAGUCUGAACCAGCCAAGUAGCGUGAAGGAUGACUGCCCUAUGGGUUGUAAACUUCUUUUAUAUGGGAAUAAAAUGUUCCACGUGUGGGAUUUUGUAUGUACCAUAUGAAUAAGGAUCGGCUAACUCCGUGCCAGCCGCCGCGGUAAUACGGAGGAUCCGAGCGUUCUCCGGAAUUAUUGGGUUUAAAGGGAGCGUAGGUGGAUUGGUAAGUUAGGUGUGAAAGUUGGGGGCUCAACCGUAAAAUUGCAGUUGAAACUGGACAUUUGGAGUACAGACGAGGAAGGUGGAAUUCGGGGUGUAGGGGUGAAAUGUUGAGAGAGAACGAAGAACUCCAAUGGCGAAGGCACACUAC